UUGAAAGGGAAACGAUUGAAGUCAGUCGUACCUGUGGGUAAUCAGCCUUUUGGGUGUGAUUUUGUGGAGUGUGAGGAGUUAAACGCCUUCAUGCCUGCAUAUUCGUGCACUUUGGGUGUAUUUACCCGUGUGGUAAGUUAACAUCAAUUUCGGUGGUCAUAAAAUGGCUGGAGGAAUGUAGCUUCGAUCUUGUAUUGAAGUGUUAUAGCCUUCGGUAGAUGUGAUGAUCGGGAUUGAGGAUUGCAACGGAUACCCUUCGGGGCUACCUGUCUGAUCUCUGAUCGUUGCUCUGGUGCCGAAAGCUUGCUUACGGAUAUCAAAGUCGAUGGUCAAUAGGUUAGAACGGAUUAAAUUCGUUAAGGAUGUUGACGUA
rnacentral:rRNA from 1 species